AUGCUGGCUUCAGCAGCACAUAUACUAAAAUUGGGAUAAUACAAAGAUUAGCAUGGACCCUGCACAAGGAUGACAAACAGAUUUGUGAAGCAUUCCAUGUUUUC